rnacentral:rRNA from 1 species
UACGUAGGUGGCAAGCGUUGUUCGGAAUUACUGGGCGUAAAGGGCUCGUAGGCGGCCAACUAAGUCAGACGUGAAAUCCCUCGGCUUAACCGGGGAACUGCGUCUGAUACUGGAUGGCUUGAGUUCGGGAGAGGGAUGCGGAAUUCCAGGUGUAGCGGUGAAAUGCGCAGAUAUCAGGAAGAACACCCGUGGCGAAAGCGGCUCUCUGGAACGGUACUGACGCUGAGACGCGAAAGCGUGGGGAGCGAACAGG